rnacentral:tRNA from 1 species
GUUUCCGUAGUGUAGUGGUUAUCACGUUUGCUUCACACGCAUAAGGUCCCCGGUUCGAUCCCGGGCGGAAACA